ACCAAGGGGCGUCUUCCCCAGGGUCCUUGGAGACAGCCGGGGAAAGCUGAGGCUUGUUUCAAGGAUACCCUUUACCCUUCUCCAUUUUAAAAAGAGAAAAGGCCAAUAGAACCGAUGCCUAUUUACCUAGUAUAGCAAGAAAUAACAUUCAUCCACAGCACACAGUGAAACUGAAGGCAAAAACGAUCUCAUUCUUGGGAAAGUCCCAUGUUGGACAGUAGAUGUUAUUGGAAAGACUGUGGCUCCCUUUCAUGAAUUCUUUGUUAAAUUAACAAAAAAUUUUAAUGGACUCAGAAGGAAAUUUAGGGACAAUUUUGUAAUUUUAGGAAUUCAGCAGGGAAUGGAGGUCAACAAGCAGACACAUGACCAAUAGCAGGAUUCAGAGGUAGUCUUUCUGGAGAAGUGAAAAGAACAACACCUAAUGGCUCUGAAAUCUCUGGGAACCUUUUCCCUGGAACUAUUUUUAGUAAGUAUUUUUAUGCAUUCAAAAUUUUACAAGCACUAUAUUUUAAACUACAUGGUUAACUGUGAAACAGAAUGAGAGCAUUUACAUAUUAAGAAACUAGCAAAUGAGACAAAGAUAUGAAACAACUAUGGACUGAAGCCGUGGGCAGUUCCGAGUUUUUUGAUGAGAACGGACAGCACCUUGUCCAGUGGGUCCAUCACUCCUCUCUGAAGCCAUUUGGGAAUAGUAGUCCUGGCAUGGUGAAAGCCCAAUUUUUGAAGAAUAUAAUCAACACCUACAGGGUCAAUCUUUCUUCCAGUCCAAGAAAUUAAUCUGAAAUGGUAAUUAGAAAUCAGGGUCACUAUCAAGGUGUAUGAUUCAUGAACAUUACUGCACUCCCUUAAUAUACUCUGGAUAAAAUACUUUAGCAGAUAUAUUUGAGAUAUGCUGACACCAGAUCAUGGAGAAACAUGAUGAGCUCGGCAUCCAUAGUCACACAGAUGUGGUCAGUGAACUCGGUCACCACACUGCACUCCACCUUGGGUUUCAAGCUGGCAUCUGAAACGAUAAAGGAUGUUACAGUAAAAAAUUCCAUGAAGCAAAGGCCUCUUCCAUCGAUAAAGAUUUACAUAGAUCCAUGUAAAUGCAUACACUUGUAAUAUAAAUGUGAAGAUUUGGGAAAUGAGCAACUGCUAUGUGCAUAUGAUUUACAGACUAGUGAGAAUGUAGUAAAACACUCCUAGAAUGUAUCAUUGUUCCUUAAAAUAAAUAAAGUCCAAUUAUUCUUCCCAAUAUUCUCCUGUGGUUCUUGAACAUGAAUUGAUUUAAAUUCUAGCUGCAUCCUUGGUAAUGCGAAGAUGGUCUCUGUUUCAUGGUUGUAGCUAGAACCUCCCCGGAGUUUGAACAAUGUAUGUAGAGUGGUCACUAGAGCCUAUAACACAAGAUAGGAUAACAAACAGAGAUGGAUUUCUCCAAUAAAAAAAGUCAGAAGGGGUUGAUUUUUUGAGCUUCAGUCCAAAAGGCAAUAUUUGGUUCUUCUAAAUGAAAAAGGGCCCAGGAUUUUGAACGGAAAUUUGGACCAUGAAAACAAGCCAGGGUCAUAUGAUUUCCAUGCAAGCUCAUGGAUCCUCCAAACUGCAUCCCAUCUUCUGGUAAUGGAACCUGAAAUAAGGAUAUGUGGCAUCCAGAUACCACCUUCAACACGCCAGGCCAAUGUCGAUGGUGUGCAGCAUCAAGCACUACAAGAAAAUGAAGAAAUAUUUGUCAUAAAUUGUCUCAAGUAUCCAGAUUGACGGUUUCCAUUUUUUUCUUAGUGCUACCGAGGAUCAUACAUUGUAUUUAACUGGUCUUGACAAGGACUUUUUAAACUUUGCACAGCACCAAAAUUUACUUAUGCUUGCUAACAACAGUGCUUAUAAAGACUAUAAAGGCAUAAAGGAAUAAGAAAAUGAUACCACAAACAGGUCACUGAAGAGAGUAUGGUGUCCUGCAGACAACUGGCCAUGUUUGUUUGGUUGUUGGUCAUUGUCUUGGGCGGCAGAUAAGGAACAGGUCCCCAGGUUGACAGAGCUCGCUUACUAGUAUCAAACUGUUGUGUGAAAAACUCUUGGAGCUUCAUUCCUAUUUUUAUCAAGUCUGGUGUAGUUGAUCUUGAUAUCAUUACUUGAAAAAUAUCCCAUUUCAAAUCUCCAUGCACAAAAAUCUCACUAAGAUGAGGAAAUACCAUGAAACAGAAGAUGUGGCUGGGAGG
rnacentral:lncRNA from 1 species